rnacentral:misc_RNA from 1 species
AACGCAUAUUGCGCCCCUUGGUAUUCCGGGGGGCACACCUGUUCGAGCGCCAUUUCAACCCUCAAGCUUAGCUUGGUGUUGGGUGAGGUCCCUUUCCGGGACCCUCCCAUAACCUGUAGGCGGUCAUUAUCCAUACUCCUCCAGCGUAGUAGGCUCACGCACUCGCUCAAGGAUAGGAUAAGACUAUGCCUUUACAAUCUUUUCAAAGGUUUGGCCUCGAAUCAGGUGGGGAUACCCGCUGAACUUAA